AUGACAUUGGAUCUGCAAACCAUGCCUUUCAGACAUUCUGUAUUGUUCCUUUAUUUCUUUCAAUUACUCUGAGAGUUUGUAUUCAAGAUGGCUUUCGUGUCUGACAAUGGAGACAAACAUUUCCACCUGAAAAUCAUUAACAGAAAGCAGAUAACAGAGAAGGGCAGAUUCCAAAGCAAAACUGUUUGUAUAAACUAGCUCUGUCUGUAGAUUGAAAAGUAAGAGAGACCAGUAAGUUGCUUUUAACCUACCAACAAUGGGCUGAGUCCAUAUCAUACUUACAGCCAACUCAGUAAGAACAAUGAGACUUAAGAACGCUAUUAUUAAGCCCCAUUACAGUAGUUUCAAGGGCUGGAAUCCUAUCACUUGAUUACUGCACACACUUCAUUGUAUGUGACUUGUGCCUUUUUCAACACUUAUGCAAGGAAUUAUUUAAUAGAAAACAACAGGGGCAGCCUCUGGCUCAUGCAAUGGUAAACCAGAGCUCUUUAAACACCAUAGUUGGAGCAUUAACACUGUUUCCAAGUCUAAGUAUAGCUAUGCCUGGGUUCAACACAUUGUAAUAAGCUUAACUUCACUCACUUCAAUGGGAUUUAACAGUGACAUAUUAAUUGGAUCAGGAUCAAAUAUUAUUCUGGGGGAACUAUUUAAACAUGGUAUAAUAAAUUCAGGGGACUCUUUGGAUGCAACUGUUGUGUAUAAAUACUUUUCAAUAGGUGUAUGCAUGUGUUUGUUUUAAAAUAUCGUGCCUAUUUCUAUUAACUCUGUUCAAUACACAGGUGGAGAUAUUAUAGGAUUUUCUAGCUCAGGCAGCUUUCCAAUUUGGUAUCAGAGUUUAAUGAAGGUUCCCAGCCAUUAUGCCAGGUCAGAGCCCAUACCGUUCCCUUAAAAAUGCAUGUGCCUUCUCCAAUGUAAAAUGUAGCCAAGGAGAACAGCAGCCUUAAGAAAUACUUCCCAUUAAAGCAGUGUCUCUAUCGACAGGGAAAGAAAAUGACAGAGCAGCCUACAUGCAAAAGAGUUCUACGUACAUAUUGGAGCUCACUCUGGAUUCCAGUUAAGGAUUUUCCCAUGGAAGCACCAGAAGAUGGAGCCUCCUUGUACGGAAGCAGUAAAUCCUCAACUGAUGGGAUGCUAAAUGGUUAUAGGAGCAUUAUGCAUUCUCAUAGUUCUGGAGUUAGAACGGCUCAGAUUGCAAAGAAGAAUCUAGCUAAUCAACGGCUGUAAAGAUUAAAAUGAUAUAUUUAAUAGCAGGUUUAUUAAAGCAGUCUGAAUGUAGAGUAGCAGUUCCAUUCCCAAGGUACAUAACUGUUCACUGGAAACAUGUGCGCAAAUUAUAAAAUAUGUUGCAGAUUUCACUAAUUAAAUGUAUUAA
rnacentral:lncRNA from 1 species